CUGCUGCCUUCCGUAGGAGUCUGGGCCGUGUCUCAGUCCCAAUGUGGCCGGCCGCCCUCUCAGGCCGGCUACUGAUCGUCGCCUUGGUGGGCCGUUACCCCGCCAACAAGCUAAUCAGACGCGGGCCCAUCCCGUACCACCGGAGUUUUGCUUGAAAAGCCAUGCGGCCUUCCAAGCGUAUGCGGUAUUAGCAGCCGUUUCCGGCUGUUAUCCCCCGGUACGGGGCAGGUUGCCCACGCGUUACUCACCCGUCCGCCACUCAGUCAUAAA
rnacentral:rRNA from 1 species